CACGGGGGGAGCAAGCGUUGUUCGGAAUCACUGGGCGUAAAGGGCGUGUAGGCGGUCAAGUAAGUGGAAUGUGAAAUGCCCCGGCUCACCCGGGGACCUGCAUCCCAAACUGCUUGGCUUGAGUAUGGGAGAGGAUGAGGGAAUUCCUGGUGUAGCGGUGAAAUGCGUAGAUAUCAGGAGGAACACCGGUGGCGAAGGCGCUCAUCUGGCCCAAUACUGACGCUGAGGCGCGAAAGCUAGGGGAGCAAACAGG
rnacentral:rRNA from 1 species